rnacentral:rRNA from 1 species
GGGUUGUGAGGUUAAGCGACUAAGCGUACACGGUGGAUGCCCUGGCAGUCAGAGGCGAUGAAGGGCGUGCUAAUCUGCGAUAAGCGCCGGUAAGGUGAUAUGAACCGUUAUAACCGGCGAUACCCGAAUGGGGAAACCCAGUGUGAUUCGUCACACUAUCAUUAACUGAAUCCAUAGGUUAAUGAGGCGAACCGGGGGAACUGAAACAUCUAAGUACCCCGAGGAAAAGAAAUCAACCGAGAUUCCCCCAGUAGCGGCGAGCGAACGGGGAGGAGCCCAGAGCCUGAAUCAGCAUGUGUGUUAGUGGAAGCGUCUGGAAAGGCGCGCGAUACAGGGUGACAGCCCCGUACACAAAAGCGUAUGUGCUGUGAGCUCGAUGAGUAGGGCGGGACACGUGGUAUCCUGUCUGAAUAUGGGGGGACCAUCCUCCAAGGCUAAAUACUCCUGACUGACCGAUAGUGAACCAGUACCGUGAGGGAAAGGCGAAAAGAACCCCGGCGAGGGGAGUGAAAA